UACGGAGGAUGCAAGCGUUAUCCGGAUUUAUUGGGUUUAAAGGGUGCGCGGGUUGUUUGAUAAGUCAGUGGUGAAAGUCUGUCGCUUAACGGUAGGAUUGCCAUUGAUACUGUUGGACUUGAAUAUGGGUGAGGUAGGCGGAAUGUGUAGUGUAGCGGUGAAAUGCAUAGAUAUUACACAGAACACCGAUUGCGAAGGCAGCUUACUAAUCCAUCCUUGACGCUGAGGCACGAAAGCGUGGGGAUCAAACAGGAUUAGA
rnacentral:rRNA from 1 species